UACGUAGGGGGCUAGCGUUGUCCGGAAUCAUUGGGCGUAAAGAGCGUGUAGGCGGCCAGACAGGUCCGUUGUGAAAACUAGAGGCUUAACCUCUAGACGUCGAUGGAAACCGUCUGGCUAGAGUCCGGAAGAGGAGAAUGGAAUUCCUGGUGUAGCGGUGAAAUGCGCAGAUAUCAGGAAGAACACCCGUGGCUAAGGCGGUUCUCUAGUACGGUACUGACGCUGAGACGCGAAAGCGUGGGGAGCGAACAGG
rnacentral:rRNA from 1 species